CGCCGAUGGCCGCUACCAUGCCUAUAAAUAUGUCUGAAAGCCCUAGGUGAAUCCCCAUCUUCUUUGAUUUGGUUUAAUUUUGUUUCUAAUUUUCGAAGGAAUAGGUAGCCCAUGGAGAUCCGUUCUUGUUUGUGUUACGUGCGACUGUUUUGAGGGCUUCCGAAUCGGAUUGAGAGCCCUAAUGUGGCAGUCCGGGAUGCAGUCGGUGUCUUUGUCCAAGAUGGUGAGAUCUUCCGGUUCGGCUCGUGUUCCUCCGUAAUGACCUCCCACGGUGUGAUUUGGCCAGAUCCAUCCCCUUCUCAUAUUAUUUGGGGUGCAUGAAAUGUGGACUACGUAUACAAGAUUGCAGCAUCAUGAAAUGGUUUGAUACUUGGCUUGAUGUCCGAUUAAAUCGCCACACGCCAUCUGGGGUUUGCCCUUUGGCGUGAUUUCAC